AAAAUAAUUAUAUUUUUUUCGCAUAUGACAUAACUUGAAUUUUUAAAAAGAAUAUAAACUGUUCAAUACAUGAAAAAUAUUAUAACGGGUCAAAAAUAGAUUUAAGAAAAUUUUCUACUGAGUACUGAGUCAUAAUUUGAAUAUUUAUAUUCAAUUUCAUAAUAUUAUUUUAAAAAUUUAUAAUCUUAUAUAUUACAAUAAUUAAUAACAUAUUAUAU
rnacentral:sRNA from 1 species